rnacentral:rRNA from 1 species
CAGGCUUAACACAUGCAAGUCGAGGGGCAGCAUGGUCUUAGCUUGCUAAGGCCGAUGGCGACCGGCGCACGGGUGAGUAACGCGUAUCCAACCUGCCUUACACUCUUGGACAGCCUUCUGAAAGGGAGAUUAAUACAAGAUGUUAUCAUGAGUAAGCAUUUUCGCAUGAUUAAAGGUUUACCGGUGUAAGAUGGGGAUGCGUUCCAUUAGAUAGUAGGCGGGGUAACGGCCCACCUAGUCUUCGAUGGAUAGGGGUUCUGAGAGGAAGGUCCCCCACAUUGGAACUGAGACACGGUCCAAACUCCUACGGGAGGCAGCAGUGAGGAAUAUUGGUCAAUGGACGAGAGUCUGAACCAGCCAAGUAGCGUGAAGGAUGAAGGUUCUAUGGAUUGUAAACUUCUUUUAUACGGGAAUAAACGAAUCCACGUGUGGAUUUUUGCAUGUACCGUAUGAAUAAGGAUCGGCUAACUCCGUGCCAGCAGCCGCGGUAAUACGGAGGAUCCGAGCGUUAUCCGGAUUUAUUGGGUUUAAAGGGAGCGUAGAUGGGUUGUUAAGUCAGUUGUGAAAGUUUGCGGCUCAACCGUAAAAUUGCAAUUGAUACUGGCAGUCUUGAGUACAGUUGAGGUAGGCGGAAUUCGUGGUGUAGCGGUGAAAUGCUUAGAUAUCACGAAGAACUCCGAUUGCGAAGGCAGCUUACUAACCUGUAACUGACAUCGAUGCUCGAAAGUGUGGGUAUCAAACAGGAUUAGAUACCCUGGUAGUCCACACGGUAAACGAUGAAUACUCGCUGUAGGCGAUAUACAGUCUGCGGCCAAGCGAAAGCAUUAAGUAUUCCACCUGGGGAGUACGCCGGCAACGGUGAAACUCAAAGGAAUUGACGGGGGCCCGCACAAGCGGAGGAACAUGUGGUUUAAUUCGAUGAUACGCGAGGAACCUUACCCGGGCUUAAAUUGCAACCGAAUAUGGCGGAAACGCUAUAGCUAGCAAUAGCGGUUGUGAAGGUGCUGCAUGGUUGUCGUCAGCUCGUGCCGUGAGGUGUCGGCUUAAGUGCCAUAACGAGCGCAACCCUUGCCGAUAGUUACUAACAGGUCAUGCUGAGGACUCUGUCGGGACUGCCAUCGUAAGAUGUGAGGAAGGUGGGGAUGACGUCAAAUCAGCACGGCCCUUACGUCCGGGGCUACACACGUGUUACAAUGGGGGGUACAGAGGGCUGCUACCACGCAAGUGGAUGCCAAUCCCAAAAACCUCUCUCAGUUCGGAUUGAAGUCUGCAACCCGACUUCAUGAAGCUGGAUUCGCUAGUAAUCGCGCAUCAGCCACGGCGCGGUGAAUACGUUCCCGGGCCUUGUACACACCGCCCGUCAAGCCAUGGGAGCCGGGGGUACCUGAAGUGCGUAACCGCAAGGAGCGCCCUAGGGUAAAACUGGUGACUGGGGC